rnacentral:rRNA from 1 species
UAGGGAAUCUUCCGCAAUGGGCGAAAGCCUGACGGAGCAAUGCCGCGUGAGUGAUGAAGGUUUUCGGAUCGUAAAGCUCUGUUGCCAGGGAAGAACGCUUGGGAGAGUAACUGCUCUCAAAGUGACGGUACCUGAGAAGAAAGCCCCGGCUAACUACGUGCCAGCAGCCGCGGUAAUACGUAGGGGGCAAGCGUUGUCCGGAAUUAUUGGGCGUAAAGCGCGCGCAGGCGGUCAUUUAAGUCUGGUGUUUAAUCCCGGGGCUCAACCCCGGAUCGCACUGGAAACUGGGUGACUUGAGUGCAGAAGAGGAGAGUGGAAUUCCACGUGUAGCGGUGAAAUGCGUAGAUAUGUGGAGGAACACCAGUGGCGAAGGCGACUCUCUGGGCUGUAACUGACGCUGAGGCGCGAAAGCGUGGGGAGCAAACAGG